UGGGGAAUAUUGCACAAUGGGCGCAAGCCUGAUGCAGCCAUGCCGCGUGUGUGAAGAAGGCCUUCGGGUUGUAAAGCACUUUCAGCGGGGAGGAAGGCGAUAAGGUUAAUAACCUUGUCGUGUGACGUUACCCGCAGAAGAAGCACCGGCUAACUCCGUGCCAGCAGCCGCGGUAAUACGUAGGGUGCAAGCGUUAAGCGGAAUUACUGGGCGUAAAGCGCACGCAGGCGGUCUGGCAAGUCGGAUGUGAAAUCCCCGGGCUCAAACUGGGAACUGCAUUCGAAAAUGGCAGGCUAGAGUCUUGUAGAGGGGGGUAGAAUUCCAGGUGUAGAGGUGAAAUGCGUAGAGAUCUGGAGGAAUACCGGUGGCGAAGGCGGCCCCCUGGACCAAGACUGACGCUCAGGUGCGAAAGCGUGGGGAGCAAACAGG
rnacentral:rRNA from 1 species